rnacentral:rRNA from 1 species
UACGUAGGGUGCAAGCGUUGUCCGGAAUUAUUGGGCGUAAAGAGCUCGUAGGCGGUCUGUUGCGUCGGCUGUGAAAACCCGGGGCUCAACCCCCGGGCCUGCAGCCGAUACGGGCAGACUAGAGUUCGGCAGGGGAGACUGGAAUUCCUGGUGUAGCGGUGAAAUGCGCAGAUAUCAGGAGGAACACCGGUGGCGAAGGCGGGUCUCUGGGCCGAUACUGACGCUGAGGAGCGAAAGCGUGGGGAGCGAACAGG